CCUACGGGAGGCAGCAGUGAGGAAUAUUGGUCAAUGGACGAGAGUCUGAACCAGCCAAGUAGCGUGAAGGAUGACUGCCCUAUGGGUUGUAAACUUCUUUUAUAUGGGAAUAAAAUGUUCCACGUGUGGGAUUUUGUAUGUACCAUAUGAAUAAGGAUCGGCUAACUCCGUGCCAGCAGCCGCGGUAAUACGGAGGAUCCGAGCGUUAUCCGGAUUUAUUGGGUUUAAAGGGAGCGUAGGUGGAUUGUUAAGUCAGUUGUGAAAGUUUGCGGCUCAACCGUAAAAUUGCAGUUGAAACUGGCAGUCUUGAGUACAGUAGAGGGUGGCGGAAUUCGUGGUGUAGCGGUGAAAUGCUUAGAUAUCACGAAGAACUCCGAUUGCGAAGGCAGUUCACUGGACUGCAACUGACACUGAGGCUCGAAAGUGUGGGUAUCAAACAGGAUUAGAUACCCUUGUAGUC
rnacentral:rRNA from 1 species